GGUCUCUGUCUGCUUGACACGAAGAUUACGGCGUAAUCAUAACCAAUCACACACGCGGUUAUUACGGAGGAAACCUUCGACUUUGACACGAUUUCUUCGGCGGUUAUUUCUCACAGGAAUGUAAUUAGAGUAAAGCGAGGACGCGCGGCUUCCCGCCUGUAAUUAUCCAUGCAUGCGCGUGUUUGUCUUUGCCAGCAUGAAGAGGGAGAUUUCAUUUGAAUAAAAUUGAAUUUAAUCACCAUGUCGCGCGGGCGAGAGCAGGGGAAAUAUUUGCAGCCCUCGGGGUCAACAUUACACGAAAAAGAAAUUAAAACAAGUAAACAUAUUUCUCCUGUAAGGUGCCGCGGAGCUGGAGGGGGUGGCGAGAAAUUGUAUUAGGUGCUGUUCGAACAAAUCUUUCACUCUGUACGGGGAAUAUUGGCUCUCGCCUUUCUUUGACAUCUGCCGCCUCGCGUUUUCUACGCGUUUUUCCCUUCAAAUUAACUUAAAGGUGUGGACGGCUGCGUUGAUUGGAACCGGUGCGUUUCGGUUGUGUCGUGCACGCGCUUUGAGGACAGCUUCGGACGGUGAAUAUAAUCCCUGAGGGGAUAAAACUUGGUACGUCUGUAAGACGUCUACUAAAGAGCUGGAGAUCUGGACAACAUCUGCAGUGUAAAAACAUCUGCUAAACAUCUUAAAAAGAGCAGUUUUACAUCCAUUCUGAAUCAGAAACAUCUAACAGACGUCUUCUUGGUUUCUACAUGACAUCUGACAGCAGACGUCUCAGAGAAGUAUUGCAGAUGAGAAAACUAUGUAUUGCAGAUGUCUUGCAGAUAUAAAUAGACGUUGUUCGGUUGUAUGUGUGCUAUCAGGAUCAUUUUUCCUCGACAGGAAUGAGAUUAAAUAGAAAUGUUUGCUCAAAAACAUCUUGUGUGUCUCUCCUGAGACAGAUGCUGCAAUAUAUUCUUCCGAAUUGUUAGGUUUCACGUCAACCACCUCAAGCGAUUACGAAUGAAGAACUUCACCUGUUGGAAUAUACUGUAAUUUUUUAUCAUUAAUUGACCGUUACACUCACACAUCUCAGAGCUCAAAUGUCAACAGGCAAAAUAGGGGACGGCUAACUCACGCAAUAAAUUGCCUCUCACACGUGUUCCUGCAUAUGACAAAUUGAUUUGUGGAAAGCGAGUGAGAGAGUAAGUGCAAACACACAGACGAUUGUAAUUGAAGUCGCCGCAGCCGGAGGGCAAAGCCUGCGUUUCCGUCCCCAAUUUGUUCAGAUUGCAGUCGUGUUUCUAUUUCAAUCAAUAAAAACGAAGCUAAAUUAUAUUCCAUCUGCGAAGAUUAUUAUUCAAUAUCGUAUUUGAGAUGUUUGCUUACUAAUACACUAUUUGCUCUCAGUCAACCGACUACACGUGGCUGCUACGCCAAUAAAGAAUCUGUAAUCUGCAGUUACGAAAAUCCAUUUAUAUUGCGACAUUGGGCAACAAGAAAUUGUUUUUUGUUUCAUGAUGGGACAUUUUUCAUGGAUUUCCGGACGGUUGCAAGUGCCAUAAAUCUGUCAAUUAAAAUAAAUACGUCUUGCAGACAUCAAAUAGACAUCUCCAAGAUGUAUGUGUGCUAUCAGGGAAGCAUAUGUAUCGCUGUUAUUCACAUAAAGCACCGAAAUACAGUACAUGUGCUAUUAUCUUUGGUGUUUUAUAUGUUUAAAUACAACAUGUUCUUGUGAGGAAAGUGAUGUCAGGGCAGACUCUCAGAAGCGAUGUUUACUGAUGCUGUGAAACACUAUAAAAAGAAAGCUAUUCAUGAGGAUAAUGUCCAAAUUACAAGUUCCUCCAGCCCUUGGCUUCUAGCCCUCCUUUAUACUGUCGACCAUUUACCUCCGUUCCCUGUUCUCAAAAGCUCAGGUGAUGAUAACAUUGGUUAGGCACAUUAUCUCUCCUAAUUGCUAGGUUGACAUAAAACAUAACGGAUGGCUCGCGGUUGCCUCCGCUCCGGCCCCGAAGUGCGCUAGGCUUCCUCACCCAGAAAGGAAGCGGCAGUCCUUUUUAAGAACUGCUGAUGGCCUUAUUUUUCUUUUUUCCCCACACCAGGGAUAAGGUUAUCUGAGCAAUUCGUCAUGGAGUUUGCAGAUAAUUAGCUUUUUAAAGUUUCCCCCAAGUCAGGACUGUCCUUGCAAGGGCGAAUCUGUCUCUGGAAAAAUGAUUCAGCUGCAAACACAAGUUUUGAGCUCGAAUCCUGGGAAGUCGGGAAAAGACCCAUGAUGCCGUACAUAUAAAUCAAAUUAUGUUGUAUUAAAAACAGAUAUGUAGUUAUAUGAAAUAUAGGCAGUUAAGGAAAUAUUUAAGGGUAACAAUAUUUGUAUUCAUUUUAACAAAAUAAGAAGGAUUUCAGAUGAAGAGGUAAACACAUUUAUGUUGGAAAUCAAUGUCUUAUUAUUUGGAAUUAUUUCUCUUGUUUUCCAAGAUAAGGUGAUCAGUAAAAGCACUAGGACUGACUUCCUGCCACACCUCUCCUCUGGCACAGGAAGCCACGCCCAACCAGCAGACACAGAGGAUUGCACAAACUGUUGCCACAUUCUGAAAACCAACUACAAAUAAUGACAGAGCAGCAGAUUAAAUUCACAAUUUCCCUCCGUGAUCUGAAACAAGCACUCAGCAGAUCGAGAAGCAAACAUACAUACGGAGGAAAAUUGUCUCAUCGGAAAGAAAUUCCUGAUCUCCGCCCGGAAGCUGACAGAUACACGGCAGGCUGGAAAUGAGUAGCAUGUACGGGAUGAUGGCGGUCUCCUGCGCUGCGCCCGUGAAGGGGCUAUUGAUUUCUUCGUCAUUCGGAUGCUUCUCACAAGGCUUUUCUGCACAGUCAGACCGACAUAAGAGCCACAAAGAAACAAUUAAACUUUCCUGUGCUGGAUGGCAGCGGACGAGGCAAUUGUGAAAGAAAGUCAUAUGAGACGAGUUUAAAAUUGGUGUUUGGGUAUGGGAGUACAAAUUGAGUCUAUAUUUUCGACCAAUCUAUUGUCACGAAGGUGGUCGCUGUCCAACGAUUUAUGACGUACCAUCACAUACUUGCCUGCCACGACUGAAGGUGACUGGAUGGGAAAAGGAAUGUAAUGUAGCAUUCAUGUAUCCAAAUGUUUUUUUAACUUCAAGUUUUUGCCUAAUUUUAGUUCUUUGUUAUAUUCUGGAAAUUUUACAGUGCAUUAUAUAUUUGUUGAAUGUAAAUACAGACUGGAAAUAGA